rnacentral:lncRNA from 1 species
AUUCUGUCCUGGGACACUCGGGGGAAGCUGUAGCCUGAAUCGUGGAAAUGAGGAGUGGGGAGAGGCUCAUGUUCUCCCGGCUUGUAGGCGGUACCCUGGAGGCUGUGGAGCCUUUAGAAGAGACUGGGGCACCUCCAGAAGCCGGAUACUGAGCCAGGCACCGAGUACACUGCAAAGGAGAGUGCUGGGUGCUCAGCAGCUCCAGGCUAACACCAGGCUGGCUGCAAAGCCUGCUCCACACUUGGGUGUCUUCAGAAGCAGGAACUAAGACAGAUGAGGAAGCUACGAUGUCAAACUGCCUGCUCGAAAGCUGUUUGCACAAGCUACUGCAGGACUAUUUCCCCGAAAGGUGGCACUAAACAAGUGUCACCUGCCUGUCACAAAUGGAAAGCAUAGCAAGGGAAAACUUUCCUUCUUGUUUAUAAACAAAUUUGACUUAAAAUUUAA